rnacentral:rRNA from 1 species
UGGGGAAUCUUAGACAAUGGGGGCAACCCUGAUCUAGCCAUGCCGCGUGGGUGAUGAAGGCCUUAGGGUCGUAAAGCCCUUUCGCCGGGGAAGAUAAUGACGGUACCCGGUAAAGAAACCCCGGCUAACUCCGUGCCAGCAGCCGCGGUAAUACGGAGGGGGUUAGCGUUGUUCGGAAUGACUGGGCGUAAAGCGCGCGUAGGCGGAUCAGGAAGUUGGGGGUGAAAUCCCGGGGCUCAACCCCGGAAUGGCCUUCAAGACUCCUGGUCUCGAGUUCGAGAGAGGUGGGUGGAAUUCCGAGUGUAGAGGUGAAAUUCGUAGAUAUUCGGAGGAACACCGGUGGCGAAGGCGGCCCACUGGCUCGACACUGACGCUGAGGCGCGAAAGCGUGGGGAGCAAA